CAAAAAUGUACAUCAGUUCAGCAAUAAUGGAUGUCAUACUAAACUCCAAAAUAUAUGAAAGAAAAUAAAAAAAAAUAAAUAUCAUACUAGAAUAACAAAGGCCAGAGGCUCCUGAUUGGGACAGGCGCAAAAACGUGGCGGGGUAAAACAUGUUUGUUGAUAUCUCAAUCCUCCCCUAUACCUCCACCCAAUGUAGAAAAAACAAACACACAAC
rnacentral:lncRNA from 1 species